UACGUAGGGGGCAAGCGUUGUCCGGAAUCAUUGGGCGUAAAGAGCGUGUAGGCGGCCCGAUUAGUCCGCUGUGAAAGUCGAGGGCUCAACCCUCGAAUGCCGGCGGAUACUGUCGGGCUAGAGUCCGGAAGAGGCGAGUGGAAUUCCUGGUGUAGCGGUGAAAUGCGCAGAUAUCAGGAGGAACACCGAUGGCGAAGGCAGCUCGCUGGGACGGUACUGACGCUGAGACGCGAAAGCGUGGGGAGCAAACAGG
rnacentral:rRNA from 1 species